AGAGUUUGAUUAUGGCUCAGGAUGAACGCUGGCGGCGUGCCUAACACAUGCAAGUCGAGCGGAGAUAAGUUGAAGCCUAGCGAUUCUUAUCUUAGCGGCGGAUGGGUGAGUAACACGUGGGUAACCUGCCCUGCACUGGGGAAUAACAGCUGGAAACGGCUGUUAAUGCCGCAUAUGCGCACGGAGCCGCAUGGCUUUGGGCGGAAAGAUUUAUCGGUGCAGGAUGGGCCCGCGCCGGAUUAACUAGUUGGCGGGGUAACGGCCCACCAAGGUGAUGAUCCGUAGCCGACCUGAGAGGGUGACCGGCCACAUUGGGACUGAGACACGGCCCAAACUCCUACGGGAGGCAGCAGUGGGGGAUAUUGCACAAUGGGGGAAACCCUGAUGCAGCGACGCCGCGUGAAGGAUGAAGUAUUUCGGUAUGUAAACUUCUAUCAGCGGGGAAGAAGAUGACGGUACCCGACUAAGAAGCCCCGGCUAACUGCGUGCCAGCCGCCGC
rnacentral:rRNA from 1 species